rnacentral:rRNA from 1 species
AUACGGAGGGUGCGAGCGUUAAUCGGAAUUACUGGGCGUAAAGCGUACGUAGGCGGUUGGUUAAGUUAGAUGUGAAAGCCCCGGGCUUAACCUGGGAACUGCAUUUAAAACUGGCGAACUAGAGUUGAGUAGAGGGGAGUGGAAUUUCAGGUGUGGCGGUGAAAUGCGUAGAGAUCUGAAGGAACUCCAGUGGCGAAGGCGACUCCCUGGACUCGAACUGACGCUGAGGUACGAAAGCGUGGGUAGCAAACGGGAUUAGAAACCCCUGUAGUCC